rnacentral:rRNA from 1 species
GUGAGGAAUAUUGGUCAAUGGACGCAAGUCUGAACCAGCCAUGCCGCGUGAAGGAUGAAGGCCUUCUGGGUUGUAAACUUCUUUUAUCUGGGAAGAAAAGCAUUGUUUCUACGAUGUCCGACGGUACCAGAGGAAUAAGCACCGGCUAACUCCGUGCCAGCAGCCGCGGUAAUACGGAGGGUGCAAGCGUUAUCCGGAUUUACUGGGUUUAAAGGGUGUGUAGGCGGGUCUUUAAGUCAGUGGUGAAAUCUCCGAGCUCAACUUGGAAACUGCCAUUGAUACUAUUGAUCUUGAAUUCUGUUGAGGUUGGCGGAAUAUGUCAUGUAGCGGUGAAAUGCAUAGAUAUGACAUAGAACUCCGAUUGCGAAGGCAGCUAACUAAGCAGAUAUUGACGCUGAGGCACGAAAGCGUGGGGAUCAAACAGGAUUAGAAACCCGGGUAGUCC